GCAAAAGAACAAGAUGCGUUGCAAGCCAGAGUGAUGAAUUCCACUUUUAACGUCGUCUCCGUGGCAUUCUGCCUAAAUGAUGGGCAUGGAAAUGGUGCUGAGGGAUGUGGGCUGAAUCGAGAACACAGGGACUUUUGUCUUCUGGGUUUAAUAACAAAAUGCAGUGCAAAAACUCCAGGUACUAGCCAAGUCAUGUGACAUGAGACAUGGGAUCAGCUUAUCUCACAGACCCAGACUUAGAGCCCUGUGCCAGCCUGACAACGAGUGGACAAUCCAGGAGGAUUUGAGUAUUUCCUGCAGCUAUUCAACAAAUACAGAAAGAGCUCCUUAAAGUUUCUGGCUAUAGCCCAGCCUUCCAGCUCCCUGACUCAGAUGGGACCUGUCGGAACCAGAUUUGAAGACAUUAAAUUCGGACAUUGGUGUGACUGACUGAUAUAGACAGAUUCUGUCACACCCCUGGCUGCUGUUGUCACUGGUAAGUUGGGGCUUAGAUCU